GCGGACGGAGGGAGCGGGAGGGGAAAGCGUCGCUGCGGCUGCGAGGAGCGAAGUAGGGGCAGAAAGUUGUCCGCUGGCAGCCGGGCGCGCCGCGGAGACAAAGUGCUCGGGGCUGCUCCGCACCCGCGGACAGAUUGCCAGUGCUACAAAAAUAGGGACUUCCAGCAAGAAGUUCUUCAGCUUUUGAAGCCACAAGGACACCUCAGCCCCUUUCUGUGCUUUCACUUAUGAUGUGGAGGGAAACAAGACAUUUGGAGAGCAAAUAAGUUAUGCAAGGGGAAGCUGAUCAAGAGAUCUCAAGAGUUGCAGCUUCCUGGGAUUGUCUGUCAGAGGAACGAAGAGCAAAAGAAUAACUUUCCAUCAUGAAGUAUGUGCUACUAUAUUUUCAAGUGUCCUUAAAAGACUUUUCUUUGGACAUAAUCGAGUGGAUUCAGUGUCCCAAGAGGUCAGA
rnacentral:lncRNA from 1 species